GGGAACCAACCCCCAGCUGAAAGCAUCUCCCCUGCACAGAAAUGGCCCUGCCCAGAGCUUUGGCUGCAGACGUGCUUUCUUUUGUAGCUGUUUCUGUUCUGUUCAGGACAAAGUGAGAGUCCUCCAUCAGCCAUUCAAAGUAACAACAACAAUAAUAGCAGUAACAAUAAUCCCACCCUGAACUGUCUUCUACUUAAAAAUCUCCAGUGCCAGAGAUGCGAAUGGGCAGAUCCCAGGGUUAGACCAGAGCCUGUUACCCUUGAGAGUGAGUGGUUGAAGGAAACAAAAUGGGGCCAAUCUGUAUAGAGUACCUGGAGACAGAGUACUUUGUGCUUCAUCAAGGCCCUUAGAAGGGUUCCUCAAUAACCACGAGAAUUUUGCUUCAUGGACGACUAGAGAAGUCAUGACGUAGCCUAUCUACAACAGAACACAGCACGUGUUUGUCUCUUAAUAAAAUGGCACAGAUCACUGUCCACAAAGAGCCAUUAAAGCUGCUUUACACAUGC